rnacentral:rRNA from 1 species
CAGUUCGGAUUGUAGUCUGCAACUCGACUACAUGAAGCUGGAAUCGCUAGUAAUCGUAGAUCAGCAUGCUACGGUGAAUACGUUCCCGGGUCUUGUACACACCGCCCGUCACACCACGAGAGUUUGUAACACCCGAAGCCGGUGGAGUAACCUUUUAGGAGCUAGCCGUCGAAGGUGGGACAAAUGAUUGGGGUGAAGUCGUAACAAGGUAGCCGUAUCGGAAGGUGCGGCUGGAUCACCUCCUUU